CUUCCUUCCUUCUUCUUUUUUUUCCCCCAUGUGUAUUUAUGAAUUUCUUUCACAAUAAUUCAAACAUUCACAUUCAUACAAGUAUACCAUAAGCCCAACAUUGACCCUUAUCCUUCUAGAUCCUUUAAGCAGAAUUAAGUAGAAAAUUGCUGCUUCCUUCAGAGGUGCAAGAUAUAGGUCAUCUCUAUGGUCACACAUCUACCCCCCCCCCAUUUUAUCUGUGCUUUUAGUGUCUAUACAGAUUGUGGUAUGGUUGUGUGGCUUUCUUUGGCCAAAGGGAUCAUAGAAAAUGUGACAUAAGCAGAGGCUUGAAAAAUACCUGUGCACUGAGGCUGCAUCUCUUGCCGCCCUUUGAAACCCUGAGGCCAUGUGAAGAAGCCUGGGCUAGCCUGUUGAAGGGUGAGAACAUCACUUCAGCUGAUAGUGAGCCUACUGCCAGCCACAAGAAUGAGGCCCCUCUUGUUUGUUCAUUUCCGUCAAGUCAACUCAACCAGAACAGCUGCACUGUCCAGCCUACCCACAGAAUUGUGGGAAAUGAUCGACGGUUGAAAGCUAUUAAGUUUUGGGGUGGUUUGUUACAUAGCCAAAACCGUGUAGCAAAUAAUAACCAACCUCGUUAUGUUUCUCCUUUAAGCUUUGUUAUUAGGGAUGCCUUUCCUUGAAUGUUAGGCAUUGUUUGGAUAUAUGAUUAUUAACUGUUUUACGAUGACCAGCUUCUGUUUGUGGUCAAGCAUCUUAGGAAGUUUUCCUGAGUGGUCAUGGCGACCCUUUGUAAAGGUUGCUUCUAGUGUGCUUGUGGAUGGGUUUCAUGGCAAGCAAUGUCCCAUUCCAGGGAGCAAGGUCCUCAGGGCAAGAACCCCAAACAGGGCUUGGCACAUGUGACGCACCCCGCCCCUCCCCUUCCUCACCCCACAGGCACUUUUCCUAAUCUCUGAGGCUGGUUAAAUCCUUACUUCUAUCUUCACGUCCAUUAUUAUUGCUAUCAUAACCUCACUUCCUCGAUGCCUCCUUCAAAUUAGCAUCUGUCUUACAAUGAGUCUACAAAAGAAAAGCUAUUAGUAUUGCUCACCCCCGCCCCCUCCCCCUUCUUUUGGCUGUGCCCUGGGCCAUGCAGAAGUUCCUAGGCCAGGGAUCCAACCCAUGCCAUAGCAAUGACAACACUGGAUCCUUAAUUGAUAGGCCACCAGGGAACUCCUGCUUCUUCUUUGAGGUAAAAGAGAUAUUAGGUAAAAUGGAAAUUCUGUUAUGACAGGCUUGUUCUGCUGUGAGGCCAGUCUUAGCCCCUUCACCCUUGAUUAGAUCCCCUUUUUGCUCCAAUCUAUUCUGGACUCAACCAUCAUGCUGGUGCUUCAUCAUUUAGUUCUCAUUUCAUUCCAACAAAGCUCCCAGAGACUUAUCAUCCAUCAGAAUAAUCCCUUUACAGCACUCACCUCAACUUGGCACUCUCCGUUCCCAAGUUCUCAGGGCCCCCCACGCUCUAUGGGUAAAGUCUCAGUCCUUCAGCCAAGCCUUUAGGGCCUUCCAGAAUUUGGCCUCGCUCUGCUUUACCAACGGGGCAUCUCCUCUGUGAAGUUCUCCACCACCUGGGCCCAUGGAGCAGUCUGGGUCUCAGUCACUCGUCCGUUAUUGAUGACAUGCAAUGUGUGAAGUCAAUUCUCAAGCUUGAGUUUUCCAAUCCUCCCAGAUUUGACUAUGUGCUCCUCACGGGACAGAUUCUAGGUCGCCACACCUCCCAAAGGGCCUAGACAGUGGCUUGUUUGAGGCCAGUGCUCAAUACACAGCCAGCAGCGCAUUGGUUUCUAAACUCCGAAAACAGCAUUUCUCAAAGUGGGGUGCCUACACUCCCGCACAGAGUAACUUGGGAUGUUUAUUAAAGCAUGCUCUGUCUCCUGGGCUCCUUCUCAGACCUACUGAGUUUGCCUUUCUGGGCUAAGGCCCAGGAAUCUACAUGGUGAGCAAGCUUCCCUAGGAUCUUCAUGCUCCUAAAACCCCGACACUCCUUCUAUGACUGUAGGUCUUCAAGGGAGAAAAUGCUGUCCAUAUAUGCAGGGCCUGGUGGGCUCCUUUCCUUAGGUAAAACGUAGGGAUCCCAAACUUACUGAAACUUCUAGACUCUGGAAUUGAGAUUUUUGGUGGGGGUGGGGGUGGUGUGCCCUUGGGAAGAUGGGUUUGAAAAGGCAUGACGAGAAGAUGAUCGCAUGAUUUAUCUUUGGGAAGAACCCCUUUGUUCUUAUGAUAAAAACUACAGAAAAACUGAAGUGUGACCAAAUCUUCCUGUGCCAAGACCUGCUGAACUAUAUGGU
rnacentral:lncRNA from 1 species